AUGAAAGUAAUUUUCCAAGGUGGCCAAAGACUGUUGCCUACCUCUGAAUUUUUAGCAUCUGACACUGCUUCUAAAUUACAUGAUGGUUUGGACUACUGCUUCCUGCAAGUUUGUCCUGAUCUAGGUUUUAAAGAUAGGAUACAUUCAAAGAUGGGACAAGACCGUGACAUCAUGCUGAGUUUAGUCCUGAAAGUGAUACAAUCAGUCCAAAGCAGACCAGAGUUGGGAGACGGAGACACUUUAACUUUAAAUAUGCAUGGUUUUGCAAAUACAUCUGAGUUUAAAAGGAAGGAAACCAUCCAUCAGUCUGGUUUUGAAGCUGCUCUUGCAAUAUUAUGAUAUAAUUUAUCCAUAAUUAUAUUAAUUGUUCCACAUUAACUCAGUAUUGAACUUCUAAAAGUAAUAUCAAGUGUGUGUUUUGUGGAUUUUAAACAAUUGUAACAUGUCAAGACAGUAAAAUUAAUUUCUGAAGUAUUAAAAAUAUACCCAUAUCUACUGGUUCAAAGUGAAUUUUAAAUAUGUAAAAUACUGCAAU
rnacentral:lncRNA from 1 species